rnacentral:rRNA from 1 species
CGCUCAGGCUGGGAACCAACCGCCUGCACGAGAUCCUGGCUCUACAUACACGGGACCCGGUUCUCCUGUCUGAUCUCUCCUUCAUUGGAGGGUGAAGGCGCUUUCUGGAGCGUCCGUGGUUGUUACUGUGAACAAAACAGCAUGUCCAAAGUAAGCGCGGCACACGCCAGUCCGCUUGAAUGUUUGAGCAUGGAAUGACAAGGGAGCGACCUCGAAGUUAGGAUCUCCUUGUUUGUUGGUUUUGAAGACUUCAUUGGGAAACACAAGGCAGAUUGCGCCGUGCAGUUGGGUUCGCCCCUUCAGUGUGGCCUCUGCUUACAAACGGGAUCAAUCGGAGCAAACGGUGGGGUACGUACUGCGGCGCUAGUGGUGAAAUACUUAGAUCGCCUCAUGACGAACAUCUGCGAAAGCAUUCCUCAAGCAUGCCUUCUUCAAUCAAGAGCGAGAGUAUGGGGAUCAAAGAUGAUUAGAUACCGUUGUAGUCCAUACCGUAAACGCUGCCGGUAAGGUGUCGGAGGCUUGCUCUGGCAUCCCGACUCCUUCGGAGCCAAUCCCCAUAACGAGAAAUCCAAACCUGGGUUCCGGGGGGAGUACGCUCGCAAGAUCGAAACUUAAAGGAAUUGACGGAAUGGCACCACAAGGCGUGGAGUGUGCGGCUUAAUUUGACUCAACACGGGAAACCUUGCCAGGUCCGGACUUGCUGAGGAUUGACAGAUUGAGAGCUCUUUCUUGAUCGCAAGGGUGGUGGUGCAUGGCCGUGCUGGGUUGGUGGAGUGAUUUGUCUGCUUAAUUGCGAUAACGAACGAGAUCACAGCCUCUUACUCGGCCUUCCACUCGCAUAUCGAGUAGGGGUGCCUUGAGGUCCCGUUCCCACACAAAGAUCCGCUGUGUAUGCGAUUUCCUUCUCACACGAGGGGAAAAGCGUCGCGGCGAUCGAUGCGCGGGGGCGGGGCCUUGAGCAACAACGGCCCCGAGAGUGGAGGAGCUUCCCUUAGAGGGACUGGCAAUGCUAUUUCAAUUCCCGGAAGAAUGUGCCUUUCACAGGUCUGUGAUGCUCCGCGAUGUUCUGGACCGCACGCGCACUACAAUGGCAUGGUCAACGAGCGACAAAUCGUGCUUUAACGGUUCCUCCUUGGAAGCGAGAUCGGUAAUCUUUGCAAACCAUGUCGUGACGGGGAUAGGUGAUUGCAAUUAUUUUCCCCGAACGAGGAAUGCCCAGUAGGGACGGCUCAUCAGGCCGCCCCGACUGCGUCCCUGGCAUUUGUACACACCGCCCGUCGUUGUGCUCGAUUGGUUGUUGCAUAGAGUUCUUCCGAGGCUACGGGGUGAAGUUCGCUUCGCUCUGUCCUUCACGGGGUUGGCCAAAGUUGUGCAAUAUGCAACAGCUAGAGAGCAUAAAAGUCGUAACAAGGUAGCUGUAGGUG